GGACACUCCGUGCGCGCAGGCGCGGUAAUAAGGGGGGUGCAAGCGGUAUCCGGAAUCACUGGGUUUAAAGGGUGCGUAGGCGGUUGUAUAAGUCAGUGGUGAAAGGCCGUAGCUUAACUAUGGGAUUGCCAUUGAUACUGUAUGACUUGAAUGAGGUUGAGGUUGGCGGAAUGUGGCAUGUAGCGGUGAAAUGCUUAGAUAUGCCAUGGAACAUCGAUUGCGAAGGCAGCUGACUGGACCUGAAUUGACGCUGAGGCACGAAAGCGUGGGGAGCGAACAGGAUUAGAUACCCCAGUAGUC
rnacentral:rRNA from 1 species